CAGUAGCCACGGGAAUACGUAGGUGGCAAGCGUUGUCCGGAAUUAUUGGGCGUAAAGCGCGCGCAGGUGGUUUAAUAAGUCUGAUGUGAAAGCCCACGGCUCAACCGUGGAGGGUCAUUGGAAACUGUUAAACUUGAGUGCAGGAGAGAAAAGUGGAAUUCCUAGUGUAGCGGUGAAAUGCGUAGAGAUUAGGAGGAACACCAGUGGCGAAGGCGGCUUUUUGGCCUGUAACUGACACUGAGGCGCGAAAGCGUGGGGAGCAAACAGGAUUAGAUACCCGCGUAGUCCCUGUCUCUUAUAC
rnacentral:rRNA from 1 species